UACGUAGGGCGCAAGCGUUGUCCGGAAUUAUUGGGCGUAAAGAGCUCGUAGGCGGUCUGUCGCGUCCGUUGUGAAAACUCGAGGCUCAACCUCGGGCUUGCAGUGGAUACGGGCAGACUAGAGUGCGGUAGGGGAGACUGGAAUUCCUGGUGUAGCGGUGGAAUGCGCAGAUAUCAGGAGGAACACCGGUGGCGAAGGCGGGUCUCUGGGCCGUAACUGACGCUGAGGAGCGAAAGCAUGGGGAGCGAACAGG
rnacentral:rRNA from 1 species